AUUGAACGCUGGCGGCAGGCCUAACACAUGCAAGUCGAACGAGGCGCAGACGGGUGAGUCAUGUCUGGAAAACUGCCAGACGGCGGGGGAUAAUUACUGAAAACGGUAGCAAAUACCGAAUACCUUCCGAUGAGACAUGAUGGGAUUAGCUCGUAGGUGGGGUAACGGCUCACCAGGGCGACGAUCCCUAGCUGGUCUGCGAGGAUGACCAGCCACACUGGAACUGAGACACGGUCCAGACUCCUCCGGGAGGCAGCAGUUGGGAAUAUUGCACAAUGGGCGCAAGCCUGAUGCAGCGAUGCCGCGUGUAUGAAGAAGGCCUUCGGGUUGUAAAGUACUUUCAGCGAGGAGGCGUUACUCGCAGAAGAAGCACCGGCUAACUCCGUGCCAGCAGACGCGGUAAUUC
rnacentral:rRNA from 1 species